rnacentral:rRNA from 1 species
UACAGAGGUCUCAAGCGUUGUUCGGAUUCAUUGGGCGUAAAGGGUGCGUAGGCGGCGGUGCAAGUCCGAUGUGAAAUCCCGGGGCUCAACCCCGGAACUGCACUGGAUACUGCCAUGCUUGAGUACUGGAGAGGAGAUUGGAAUUUACGGUGUAGCAGUGAAAUGCGUAGAUAUCGUAAGGAAGACCAGUGGCGAAGGCGAAUCUCUGGACAGUUACUGACACUGAGGCACGAAGGCCAGGGGAGCAAACGGG